AGAGUUUGAUUAUGGCUCAGGAUGAACGCUGGCGGCGUGCUUAACACAUGCAAGUCGAACGAAGCAACUAUCUUGCUUGCAAGAGAGUUGACUUAGUGGCGGACGGGUGAGUAACGCGUGGGUAACCUGCCUCAUACAGGGGGAUAACAGUUGGAAACGACUGCUAAGACCGCAUAACCCGCUAGUGUCGCAUGACACGGACGGAAAAUAUUUAUAGGUAUGAGAUGGGCCCGCGUCUGAUUAGCUAGUUGGUAAGGUAACGGCUUACCAAGGCGACGAUCAGUAGCCGACUUGAGAGAGUGAUCGGCCACAUUGGGACUGAGACACGGCCCAAACUCCUACGGGAGGCAGCAGUGGGGAAUAUUGGACAAUGGGGGAAACCCUGAUCCAGCGAACCGCCGCGUGAGUGAAGAAGUAUUUCGGUAUGUAAAGCUCUAUCAGCAGGGAAGAUAAUGACAGUACCUGACUAAGAAGCCCCGGCUAACUACGUGCCAGCAGCCGC
rnacentral:rRNA from 1 species